rnacentral:rRNA from 1 species
UUCCGGUUGAUCCUGCCGGAGGCUACUGCUAUUGGAGUUCGAUUAAGCCAUGCGAGUCUAAGGGAUCUUCGGAUCCCUGGCGUAAUGCUCAGUAACACGUGGAUAAUCUACCCUCAGGUGGGGCAUAAACCCGGGAAACUGGGGCCAAUUCCCCAUAGAUACAGAUGGCUGGAAUGCUUCUGUGUUCAAAGCUCCGGCGCCUGAGGAUGGGUCUGCGGCCUAUCAGGUUGUAGUCAGGGUCAAGACCUGACUAGCCAGCGACGGGUAUGGGGUGUGAGAGCACUUGCCCAGAGAUGGUUUCUGAGACACGAAACCAGGCCCUACGGGGCGCAGCAGGCGCGAAAACUUCGCAAUGCGGGAAACCGUGACGAGGGAACUCCAAGUGUCUAUGCAUUGCAUAGACUGUUUUUUAGCCUAAAUAGCUAUUAGAGUAAGGGGUGGGCAAGACCGGUGCCAGCCGCCGCGGUAACACCGGCACCUCGAGUGGUAGCCACUAUUAUUGGGCCUAAAGCGUUCGUAGCCGGUUUGGUAAAUUCUUGGGUAAAUCGUACCGCUUAACGGUGCGGAUUCCGGGGACACUACCAGACUUGAGACCGGGGGAGAUCAGAGGUACUUGUGGGGGAGCGGUGAAAUGUUGUAAUCCUGCAGGGACCACCAGUGGCGAAGGCGUCUGAUCAGAACGGCUCUGACGGUGAGGAACGAAACCCUGGGGCGCAAACGGGAUUAGAUACCCCGGUAGUCCAGGGCGUAAACGCUGCUGACUUGGUGUUGGAGAUCCUACGAGGAUGUCCAGUGCUGGCGCGAAGGUAUUAAGUCAGCCGCCUGGGGAGUACGGUCGCAAGACUGAAACUUAAAGGAAUUGGCGGGGGAGCACUGCAACGUGUGGAGCGUGCGGUUUAAUUGGAUUCAACGCCGGA